UGGGGAAUAUUGGACAAUGGGGGGCAACCCUGAUCCAGCAAUGCCGCGUGUGUGAAGAAGGUCUUCGGAUUGUAAAGCACUUUCGACGGGGACGAUGAUGACGGUACCCGUAGAAGAAGCCCCGGCUAACUUCGUGCCAGCAGCCGCGGUAAUACGAAGGGGGCUAGCGUUGCUCGGAAUGACUGGGCGUAAAGGGCGUGUAGGCGGUUUACACAGUCAGAUGUGAAAUCCCCGGGCUUAACCUGGGAGCUGCAUUUGAUACGUGUAGACUAGAGUGUGAGAGAGGGUUGUGGAAUUCCC
rnacentral:rRNA from 1 species